UAUUCAUCCCUGUUAGAGAUAAAAAUAGCCGUAUAAACGGCACGUUCAUUUACGUGAACAUAGCUCUGACAGAAUCCCUGCUGUACCCCUACAUAUGCAUCAAAGAAAGUGUAAUGACAG
rnacentral:ncRNA from 14 species